rnacentral:lncRNA from 1 species
CUCAGCUUUCAGACAGAUCACAUUCCUUCUUCCCUUUCCUCCCGAUUCUCUCUGUUCAUUGGAAGCGUUUCGUUUCCUUCCGAUUUCUCUCAAAUUCAAUCGACUGCUUCGACUUUGCUUCUCCGCUCGCUUCUUUGGUAAGGAUCUCCACUGCCGCUUUCUUUUUUUUUUUUUUCCAUUAAAGAUUCAUAUUGCAAAUCUUCUUCUUUAAUUUUUUCAAAGAACUCUUUAAUGUUUGUGGUUCUCUUAAUAUUCGUGAUUCUUUUACGAGAUAAAACAUAAAAUCAUGUUCUCUGAGUCAGAUCUGGAAUCCACCGUAACACUCAUUUAGGGAAAAGUCACCAAAAUCUAAGAUCCGUGUAACCCUUUUUCGGUAACAAACGACCAAUAAAAAAUAUUAAAAAAGAAACCCAGAAAAUCCUCUGUGAAAAUAAAAAAACGAAAAGAGAUCAAAACCCUAGAUCUGGAAAUAAGAAUGAUUACUUCUCCCUGGCUUUUCUGUAAUUAGGUUGUGUGGAGUUUUGCAUUUGAGAAUCUUGAAAUGAAUCUGUAAAAUGCAAUCUUUAUAAUGUUAUUAAGGUUUGAGCUCACCAUUACAACGUAAUGGCCUCAAACCCCAUGGGGGAGUCCUAAUCAUAAUGUAUCUUUGUUUUUUAACUGGGUACAAAUUGCAAUGGUGCUGGUUCUGCUAUUUGGGGUUUGAGGACUAAUGGAUUGUAUUAUUACGGGUUCUCUGCGUAUUAUUAUGUUUGUUAUUUCAAUUAUUCGGGGCUUAUAGUUGAAAUUCCAAUGUAUAUUAUUUUUAUUGGAUGAGAAGCUUAUUGGGUUCUAUUAUUAUUAUAUAUAUUAUAUAUUUUUUCAAUUAGUUGUACUCAAAUUAUGGGUUUUGGAUCUUGUGGUUGUAUUUCAUAUUACAAUAUGUAUGUAAUAUUUGUAGGUGUCAAGUCUGUUUAUUUAUCUUAUAAUAUUGUUAUUAAGUUUUGUAAUAUUUUUUACAGGUUGUAUAUAAUAUUUAUAAGUUUUGAGCCUAUUGGAUUGUAUUUUUAUUAUUUUCGUCAUGAUAUUACCCACAUUAUUGUAUUUGAAUAAUGGAUUUCGGAUCAUUUGGUUGUAUUCCGUAUUACAAUAUAAAUGUAAUAUUCAUAG